CUGGGGGGAAAGUACAAUUGACUGCAAUUACACUUUGAAAAAUGUUAUCUGUGCCACUGACCACUGGGGAUAAAGGAUGGGGCUUCAGUUGUUUCUUCGAGCUUCACAUUCUUUUUCCCAACUUUUUUGUUGUUGCUGGGUAUUUUUUCCUUUCCUUCACCCUACAGGUCGCCUGAGGUUGAGGAAGGGCUGAGGGAAGGGACGUGUGCUGGCCCAAAGUUGUGGGGACCCCCCUUGCUGUGCCCUGGAAAAAGGGUCCCACCACGGGCUUUUUCUCACACCUGGAGCACGAGGCAGAUGGUCCAUCAGUAUAGGCUUGCCCAUGGAUGAGGAAUCCCACAGGAAAGAGGAGCUGCUCUCAGGUCCCGUCUCCAGGAGGAUUUAGCCAUCCAUCUGCCCAGGCUGCUGUUCGUUCCUGCCCUUGAGCAUCCCUGCUCCCCCCAGGGCGUCCUCACACCCUGCACCAGAUGGAGUCCAGCACCCAGGUGGGAGCCCACCAACAUCACUGAAGGGUGUGGAUGGGGCUUUCCCCCCUCCUUUCCCACUGGUCAGGCUGGAAUAAGGUGAAGCUGGGGUUUGUGCCCACAGGGAACAGCACUGGGAUGGCUGCUUUCCUGGCUGGGGAUAGUUCAGGGGCUGUUACUCCUCUCCGUAUGCACUGGGGGUGUUUUCCUUGCUGGGAGCUGCUGGGGCUGCACGUAAAUCCUCCCUCAGCCACAACUGCGCCACAGAUGUCCCAGGACAGGAAUUUUUUCUCCAGUUUUAGUGCUGGUGUAAAGCUAAAUUAUGGGAGUUGUCAGCAUUAGCAAAAAACCACCAUCCCCAUCCUGCCUGCAAAAGCACAGCAGCGGGGCCUGGGGGCUGGAAGAGGUGGAGGAGAGGUGGGUCAGCUCCUGCUUUCUGGGAAUUAUAGGAACCAGGCUAUUGUGCUGUGGAGUCAGACUGGUGCUGGUGGUCGAGGUAACUGGUAUGGUGGCAAAAGCUGUGGCAGGGUGGCAGUGCAGGUGCCUCCAUCCCUCCUCCUCCCUCUGCUGUCUCAGACCCUCCUUGAGGCCCACACAGAGGAAGGUGGAAGAUCCAUUUGAGCCCAAUCCAACCCAAAAACCCAUGGCACUUGAGCACAGACAUCUUAGGAAGUGCCAGAGGUUGGUACCUCCACCCCACAGCAGGUCACUGUGGGUGUGGAGCACCAACCCCUCACUCCCAGGACACACGGACACUGUUUCACUUCCAGGACACGCGGACACAGCUCAGCACCGGCUCGGGAGCAGCGGAAGAGUUUUACACCUUGGCAAAACAAUGUUCAAGGAGGAAAUGAGCAGCCAGGAGCUGUAAUUGAGAUGGAUGGAAGGGCAGCCGGCUUCCCCCAAAGCGUUCCAGGCAACAGACUGGAGAGGAAUAUGAAGUGCUGCUGCUCUCUAACGAUCGCCACGCUGCGGCUAAAUUAUUAAUGACGAGGAAUGAUUUCAUAUUUAAUCUAAAGACUAUUAAUUACACUGCAGAACAGCAACACACCAUCCUGAGAGCCCCUCUCACCGAGUGAAUAAUUCAGGGAUGCCCCGUAUUUUACCUCAGUGUCAAGGAGGGCGGUGACACCCCCCCUGGGUGAGCAGCCCUGUGGUGUUUGGGGCACACUCUGGUGUCCCGAGGGGUUCCUGGUGCUGAGGAGCAACCCUGACCUCUGAGCCCACCAGUGAGAUGAAGGGCACUGGGCAGAGGGGAGCUACUGGGGGCUCCCUUGGGGCUGGGGGCAUGGCUGUCCCUGCUCACUCAGAGCCCAAUGGCAGCCCUGGCUGUGGGAACACUGAAGACAGAUGUUUAUUUGUCCAGGAUUAUUUGCUGAUCACUGCUACAGUGAUCCAAGAUGAUCAUUAAAAAGUGAAAUGGGCUGUUUAAUAAUGAUGCUGAGAGCACGCAGUGUGCCUCGCAUUACGAGGAUGUUUAAGCAUGAGCCCAAUUAAGUCCCUCACAUCCCUGCAGAAUUACCCCAGUUGUGCAAACUAUUAGGCAAACUCCAGGCUCCUUGUACUCACAGGCAAUCCUGGAGCCUGGCACUCUGCUAGAGCCCCAUUUCUGUCCUGAAGCUAAAUUAAAAUCCUAUUGUGCCAGUGCUGCUAAUAUUUCCUGCUCUUGUUUCCAACAAUUAAAUUGUGACAUUCUGCCAAAACACACGAGGAAAUGAGAAAACGCUCUGGAUCAGCUGGAAAAAAAGAGAAGGCAAAUCCUCCCGGCUGCCUCCUGCCACCCAGAUGCCACGGUGACAGUCUCAGGUUAAACGGCACCUGAUGGAUGUGGCGGGGGGGGGGGGGAUGUGGGGAUUCAUCAUUCCUGUGUGGGAAGUGGGACUUCAAAUACGGGGUUGAAAGGGUUUUCUUCUCAGUUUAGGAAAGAAAUCUGGGAACUGGGUCGUGCAGUGCCAAAAGGGAAAGGGCUGAUGUACUGAUGGCAAGGGUUUGGGGCUGGGAGGCUGCAGGGGUGGUGGUGCUGGAGCAGCUUUGGUGGCACUGCCCAGCCGGGUCACCCCAUCACAGCUGAGGAUGAGGGAUGACUUCAGGGAUGAUUCCUGCCCCUGCCACCCCCAGUGGCCUGAUCCUGCUGCCCUUCUCUCACAGGGACUGCACAUCCUUUUAAAUAUCCCCUGAAUUCUAAUUCCCUUUUCCCCCUUGAUCUUCUCCCCUGGUCGCUGCCCACCCAGCGCUCCCCGGGCAGGGCACGGCUGGUCCCCUGCCCCACACUGCCUUCAAACCCCCAAAGCGACCACCCCAGUGCCCCCAGAGCAAUGCCCCCCUGGUUGAUGAGGGCUGUGGCUGCUCUUGGGCAUCAAAGAGCUGGUGGGCACCCCCAGGGUGUUGGUGACCCUGCAGUGGCACAGGCAGGGACUGGCACCUGCAGAGC